ACGGUCACCAAAAGGAGCAGUUCGUUCGCGAUCGACCUACCACUACAACAAAGCAAGAUGGCUGAAGUUGUGGAACUCCAGAAACUAAAGCUUGCUGAACUGAAGCAUGAGUGUGAAACCAGGGGUCUAGAUGUGAAGGGCAACAAAGUGGAACUGAUCACACGACUACAGGCUUAUCUGGAGGAACAUGUUUGAAAUGAGGUGUGUUCCGCGUCACAACAGACACCCAUCUUCAAAUCCAGACUGCGUUUCUAUCAAAGUGGUCCACCUUCCCUGUGGCCGACAUGGUUGCUGUAUGGACAGUGGAGAGGACAUGGACGUCUCGUUUGUUAUGGCACUUUACUGCCAGCUGUUAACAUUUCUUAUUUUGUAUAAUGGGUCAUUUAGGAUGGUAGUACCGUUGAUGAAAUGCAGUCAUAGCAGCAGAACUAGAAAGCAGUCUUUACUGUCACCAGGAAUGUAUACAUUUCACUAAUUGUGGUUGUCCCCCACUCCUGGCUCUCUCUUAUCCUGUAGCUCCAAGGCAUAGCGAUUGGUCUCUACUAUGUCUCCCACCAGCUCCUCUGUCAGAAACAACUUGAAGCACUCUGACUCAGUUGGAAAUGGCAAGGGGUGUUGCACUCCAGACGGGGACUUGUCUAAGCAAACAGCAGUGCCAGGGGGGGUGAAAUGACUGGUGGCCUUCCAGCUACCACAGAACUCCUGUACUUCAUCCAGUGUUGGUACCUCCAUCACCACCAGCAUCUUCAAAGGCACCUGGGACUUCGUCAGUGGAAAUGCAGAUUCAGAGUUCAAUGGCUACAAGGUUGGUGGGAAGCUCCUCAUUGUCAGAAUCUGAUUCCUGACUUUCAUACUCCGACUCAUUGUCAGAAUUGUAAAAAAUCUCCAGAAUGUUCUCAUUUGUUUGUUGUCUCCUUUUGAAAGACAUUGCUAAUGCUUCAGCUUAGCUCACUAGCUACAUACAUAAACAACAACACUGAAUGGUUUAGA